rnacentral:tRNA from 1 species
UUCAGCUUGGCAGAUAAAUGCAAUAAAUUUAGAAUUUAUUUAUGAAAAUUCAGUUGAAA